rnacentral:lncRNA from 1 species
AUCUUUAAGGUUGUUGCAUUGUUGCUCUAUUGCAAUUUGUGUUAACCAUUACAUGCCUCACGCAGUGCCGCCGCCAGAUGCAAAGGCAAGGGUAAUGCUUUCACACUUCACUAAUGGAUCUUUGUUAGAUUAUUUUCCUCGUUAGUGAUCUUAUUAGUAAGGUAGCUCUCAUCCUACUGCACACUAAUGAUAGCAGGCUAUUUGAAAAGGCAGUGACCCCCAACCAGAGGAACACAGUGGCCAGCCUCAUAGACGAUCUCCUUCUUGACAUUCUUCACCGCCUCCCGGCCCGCUCCUUGUGCUGCUGCAAAUGUAUCUGUCGCUCCUAGAAGCUCCUCAUCUCUAACAACCAUAAGGUGCUGCCUAGACUAUGGUCAGCUUAUUCUAUGACACCGAGAAUGGCAAGCAAAACUUCACCAGCGUCACCGAUGAACACCCUGACUUGUCCUUCCUGCCCUUCCUCGUUGACAAUGUGUCUUAGAUUGCUGCAAUGUUCUCAUCCUAUGCUAGAGCCUUUGGAAUACUGCUAGAUACCACUAUGUUGACUGCAAUCUGUCAACACAAAAGUUUAAGGUACCGCUGCCUAGCAUCUCUAAAGUUUGUGAGUCUCAAUUGGGGUU